rnacentral:rRNA from 1 species
GAUCAUGGCUCAGGAUGAACGCUGGCGGCGUGCUUAACACAUGCAAGUCGAACAAAGCACUUUGGACAGAUUCUUCGGAUGAAGUCCUUAGUGACUGAGUGGCGGACGGGUGAGUAACGCGUGGGUAACCUGCCUCAUACAGGGGGAUAACAGUUAGAAAUGACUGCUAAUACCGCAUAAGACCACGGAGCCGCAUGGCUCAGUGGGAAAAACUCCGGUGGUAUGAGAUGGACCCGCG